rnacentral:rRNA from 1 species
GAUGAACGCUGGCGGCGUGCUUAACACAUGCAAGUCGAACGGAAAGGCCCAAGCUUGCUUGGGUACUCGAGUGGCGAACGGGUGAGUAACACGUGGGUGAUCUGCCCUGCACUUCGGGAUAAGCCUGGGAAACUGGGUCUAAUACCGGAUAGGACCACAUUUUGGAUGGUGUGGUGGAAAGUUUUUCGGUGUGGGAUGAGCUCGCGGCCUAUCAGCUUGUUGGUGGGGUAAUGGCCUACCAAGGCGUCGACGGGUAGCCGGCCUGAGAGGGUGUACGGCCACAUUGGGACUGAGAUACGGCCCAGACUCCUACGGGAGGCAGAAGGGGGGAAUAUUGCACAAUGGGCGCAAGCCUGAUGCAGCGACGCCGCGUGGGGGAUGACGGCCUUCGGGUUGUAAACUCCUUUCGCUAGGGACGAAGCGUUAUGUGACGGUACCUGGAGAAGAAGCACCGGCUAACUACGUG